rnacentral:rRNA from 1 species
UACGCAGGGGGCUAGCGUUGUCCGGAUUUAUUGGGCGUAAAGAGCGUGUAGGCGGCCAGGUAGGUCUGGUGUGAAAACUCGAGGCUUAACCUCGAGCUGUCGGCGGAAACCAUCUGGCUAGAGUCCGGAAGAGGAGAAUGGAAUUCCCGGUGUAGCGGUGAAAUGUGUAGAGAUCGGGAGGAACACCGGUGGCGAAGGCGACAUCCUGGACCGGUAUUGACGCUGAGGCGCGAAAGCCAGGGGAGCAAACGGG